CUCGCAGAGUUUAUUGGCAUUCUGUCCACCUCCUAUUCAUAAAGUAUGUUUAUGAUCUAUUAUUGUGUGUGUGUGUAUAUAUGUAUAUAUGUAUAUAUAUAUGGAGGUGGGCAUACUGCCAACUGAGUUCUGUUGG
rnacentral:pre_miRNA from 1 species